rnacentral:ncRNA from 1 species
GGGGACCUUCGGGGCCCUUCACAUCACAGACAGCCGGGCCCAUACCCGGCGCAAACCAGAGAGCGGGCCCUUGGGUCCGACGCAAACGGAAGACAGAAA